GACGAACGCUUGCGGCGUGCUUAACACAUGCAAGUCGAACGGAAAGGCCCUGCUUUUGUGGGGUGCUCGAGUGGCGAACGGGUAAGUAACACGUGAGUAACCUGCCCUUGACUUUGGGAUAACUUCAGGAAACUGGGGCUAAUACCGGAUAGGAGCUCCUGCUGCAUGGUGGGGGUUGGAAAGUUUCGGCGGUUGGGGAUGGACUCGCGGCUUAUCAGCUUGUUGGUGGGGUAGUGGCUUACCAAGGCUUUGACGGGUAGCCGGCCUGAGAGGGUGACCGGCCACAUUGGGACUGAGAUACGGCCCAGACUCCUACGGGAGGCAGCAGUGGGGAAUAUUGCACAAUGGGCGGAAGCCUGAUGCAGCAACGCCGCGUGCGGGAUGACGGCCUUCGGGUUGUAAACCGCUUUCGCCUGUGACGAAGCGUGAGUGACGGUAAUGGGUAAAGAAGCACCGGCUAACUACGUGCCAGCAGCCGCGGUGAUACGUAGGGUGCGAGCGUUGUCCGGAUUUAUUGGGCGUAAAGGGCUCGUAGGUGGUUGAUCGCGUCGGAAGUGUAAUCUUGGGGCUUAACCCUGAGCGUGCUUUCGAUACGGGUUGACUUGAGGAAGGUAGGGGAGAAUGGAAUUCCUGGUGGAGCGGUGGAAUGCGCAGAUAUCAGGAGGAACACCAGUGGCGAAGGCGGUUCUCUGGGCCUUUCCUGACGCUGAGGAGCGAAAGCGUGGGGAGCGAACAGGCUUAGAUACCCUGGUAGUCCACGCUGUAAACGGUGGGUACUAGGUGUGGGGUCCAUUCCACGGGUUCCGUGCCGUAGCUAACGCUUUAAGUACCCCGCCUGGGGAGUACGGCCGCAAGGCUAAAACUCAAAGGAAUUGACGGGGCCCCGCACAAGCGGCGGAGCAUGCGGAUUAAUUCGAUGCAACGCGUAGAACCUUACCUGGGUUUGACAUGGAUCGGGAGUGCUCAGAGAUGGGUGUGCCUCUUUUGGGGUCGGUUCACAGGUGGUGCAUGGCUGUCGCCAGCUCGUGUCGUGAGAUGUUGGGUUAAGUCCCGCAACGAGCGCAACCCUUGUUCACUGUUGCCAGCACGUUAUGGUGGGGACUCAGUGGAGACCGCCGGGGUCAACUCGGAGGAAGGUGGGGAUGACGUCAAGUCAUCAUGCCCCUUAUGUCCAGGGCUUCACGCAUGCUACAAUGGCUGGUACAGAGAGUGGCGAGCCUGUGAGGGUGAGCGAAUCUCGGAAAGCCGGUCUCAGUUCGGAUUGGGGUCUGCAACUCGACCUCAUGAAGUCGGAGUCGCUAGUAAUCGCAGAUCAGCAACGCUGCGGUGAAUACGUUCCCGGG
rnacentral:rRNA from 1 species